UGAACUCGUUAUUAAACUACUUGAAAAUGCUUGCUUUAAUCGUAGGUGCGGCUCGUAAUAAGUGAGUUUACAAUCUCUCACAAUGGUUCAUAUCUCGACCUAUGUGAAGGUCUUCAUUCAUACGUUCUUAUAGUCGAAAGUAUACCCUGAAUAUAAUAAUUAUAAAAACAAAAAAAUUAUAAUAAAUUAUAAUUUUCUUUUGGAUUUUGA